rnacentral:rRNA from 1 species
UCAAGAACAUUCGACAAUGGGCGAAAGCCUGAUCGAGCGACGCCGCGUGCGGGAAGAAGCUCUUCGGAGUGUAAACCGCUUUUAUAGGGGAGGAACUAAAGUGACGUUAUCCUAUGAAUAAGGCCUUGCUAACCUCGUGCCAGCAGCCGCGGUAAGACGAGGAGGUCAAGCGUUAUCCGGAUUUAUUGGGCGUAAAGGGUGUGUAGGGGGCAUAGUUAGUCCCUGUUCAAAUUGCACUGCUUAACAGUGCAACCGGCAGGGAAACGGCUAAGCUUCGAGGGUGCCAGAGGCAAAUGGAACUCAUGGUGUAGGGGUGAAAUCCGUUGAUAUCAUGGGGAACACCAAAGGCGAAGGCAAUUUGCUGGGGCAUUCCUGACCCUGAAACACGAAAGCGUGGGGAUCAAAAAGG